rnacentral:rRNA from 1 species
CCUACGGGAGGCAGCAGUGGGGAAUUUUCCGCAAUGGGCGAAAGCCUGACGGAGCAACGCCGCGUGAGGGAUGAAGGCCUCUGGGCUGUAAACCUCUUUUAUCAAGGAAGAAGAUCUGACGGUACUUGAUGAAUAAGCCACGGCUAAUUCCGUGCCAGCAGCCGCGGUAAUACGGGAGUGGCAAGCGUUAUCCGGAAUUAUUGGGCGUAAAGCGUCCGCAGGCGGUCUUGUAAGUCUGUCGUUAAAGCGUGGAGCUCAACUCCAUUUCGGCGGUGGAAACUACAAGACUAGAGUGUGGUAGGGGCAGAGGGAAUUCCCGGUGUAGCGGUGAAAUGCGUAGAUAUCGGGAAGAACACCAGUGGCGAAGGCGCUCUGCUGGGCCAUAACUGACGCUCAUGGACGAAAGCUAGGGGAGCGAAAGGGAUUAGAUACCCCUGUAGUCCUAGCCGUAAACGAUGAACACUAGGUGUCGGGGGAAUCGACCCCCUCGGUGUCGUAGCUAACGCGUUAAGUGUUCCGCCUGGGGAGUCGCNCGCAGUGUGAACUAAUAGUAUUAGACGGCGUGAGACGUGCCGACGGCGACGACGAGGGAGGUAGG